AGAUAAAAUACACUUACUAAAUGGCACACAAUUUAGUCUGAUCUGUGUGUAUCACUUUAUACCUUUUUUUUUUUUUACCUCUAAAAUACUUUUCUGCAUUUCAUUCAAUUUUCUUACAGAAAUUCAGUAGUCCUACAACAAUUAUGUUAAUUACAGUAUAUUUUCAAAUCGCCAGAGAUCAAAUCGAAAUGAAGAGAUUUUAAUAAAAAUGUUAGCAUACAUUUUAGUACAGUGUGGGAUUAAUUCAAGUAUUUAAAGUACGUUUAUCAUUUCUGUAAAUGUUUAUUAUAUUUUAACUUCUGUCUAACAAACUGUUU